CCCGGAAGAAACCUUCGUGUAACCCAAACCAAAAAAGAAAGAGAAGAAAGAAAAAGAAGAAAAAGGAGAAAGAGGGGAAGGAAAAAACCCUAGAUUUUCAAUGCUCUGGGGUUUGUUGAAUAUAUACACACAUAUCGCUUUUCUAUAGAGACAAUUAAUACGCGCAAAUCCGCUGUAAUUUCAACAUUUUUUUUCUGUGGAUCGGUAGAAACUUGGAAUCUGAAAUAUGGACAUUGAGCAAAAGCAAGCGGAGCACAUAGACUACUUUGUGAAGCAGGCGUCAAAUCUCAAGGGUACGGCGCUCUCAACUGUCAUCGUUGAGGCUACUUCCCAUCCCUCGCUCUUUGCUUUCUCCGAGAUUAUCGCCGCUUCGAACGUCCUCGAGCUUGAAGGAACUGAGAAUAGCGCUUCGCUUGAUUUGCUACGCAUGUUUGCAUAUGGUACAUGGAGUGAAUAUAAGAGUGCUGCUGACCGUCUUCCACAAUUGGUUCCUGAUCAAGUCCUCAAAUUGAAGCAGCUGACUGUGCUUACUCUGGCAGAGACAAACAAGGUAUUGCCCUAUGAUCUAUUGAUGCAGGAGUUGGAUGUUACAAAUGUUCGGGAGUUGGAAGAUUUUCUCAUCAAUGACUGUAUGUAUGUGGGGAUCGUCAGAGGAAAGCUGGAUCAGCUGCGGAGAUGCUUUGAGGUUCAAUUUGCAGCAGGGAGGGAUCUUAGACCUGGACAGUUGGGUAGUAUGAUUCAGACCCUAGCGAAUUGGCUAUCUACAUCAGAAAAUCUUCUUGUCUCAAUUCAAGAGAAGAUCAAAUGGGCAGAUACCAUGAGUGAGAUAGACAAGAAGCACAAAAAGGAGGUGGAUGAAAGGGUGGAAGAAGUAAAGAAGACGCUGUCUUUGAAGAAGUUACAAACUGUGAGCAGGCAGACGUUGAGUUCCGAGGGCAUGAGGAGAUCUUUUCUGAACAUGGUGGAGUAAUGGACUUUGAGGAAGAUCGUAGUAGCCGCCCGAAGAGGAGACGACAUCCCAUAGGUUGAGAAGAUAUGAUUAAGAGGGGAUCAUAGGGUCAAGUGGUUAGAAGCCGGGUAGGUUGGUUGACCAGUGAAUUACGUUCAUGUCCUUGAGAAAUGGGUAGUUUCCGAGUUCUGAGCUCACCGCAGCACAGAGUCAGACCGGAGAGUUCUGUUCUAUUGGAUUCUGAUUCAUCAUCUUUAGAAGCCAAGGAAAAGUUGUGGCCCCUUUUCAUUGUUUCUUUGGCAUAUAAUGACGUGUAGUUUUAUGAGUUCAAGGGGAAACAUGUAAGCUCUUAUUAUUUCUUUUGGCUGGUGAUUAGAAACAGACAGUUAAGAGCUCAUGUUUCUACGGUUGUUCACAUAUAGGAACGUAUGGAUUGAAGUAUAUUGGUACAACAUCCAAUAACUGCUUUAAACUUUUCUCAAUCACAUCAGCAGAAGUAUGUGCAAGUUUUUGAUAAGAAAACAUGAGCAAGCUUUUUUUUUCAAAAUUUUUUAUAGUUUUAGCAUCAGCAGAAGUAUACGACUAACAGUUUAUAAUUGAGGGUGCUGGGUUCAGAACGUAUUGGGGGUGAAAAAACUCAAGUAUGAGCAAGUUUUUUAUACCCAGGUAAACCAGC